UGGGGAAUUUUGCACAAUGGGCGAAAGCCUGAUGCAGCAACGCCGCGUGUGUGAUGAAGGUCUUCGGAUCGUAAAGCACUUUCGACCGGGACGAACAAGCCUGGCCACACCAGGCCCUGACGGUACCGGGAGAAGAAGCACCGGCUAACUCUGUGCCAGCAGCCGCGGUAAUACAGAGGGUGCAAGCGUUGUUCGGAAUUAUUGGGCGUAAAGCGCGUGUAGGCGGCUUAGCAAGUCGGGCGUGAAAGCCCUCGGCUCAACCGAGGAAGUGCACCCGAAACUGCUGAGCUUGAGUGCCGGAGAGGAUGGCGGAAUUCCCCAAGUAGAGGUGAAAUUCGUAGAUAUGGGGAGGAACACCGGUGGCGAAGGCGGCCAUCUGGACGGUAACUGACGCUGAGACGCGAAAGCGUGGGUAGCAAACAGGAUUAGAUACCCCCGUAGUCC
rnacentral:rRNA from 1 species